rnacentral:rRNA from 1 species
UACGGGGGGGGGCAAGCGUUGUUCGGAAUUACUGGGCGUAAAGAGUGUGUAGGUGGUGUCGUAAGUUUGGUGUGAAAUCUCCCGGCUUAACUGGGAGGUGCGCCGAAGACUGCGAUUGCUGGAGUAUGGGAGAGGAAAGCGGAAUUCCUGGUGUAGCGGUGAAAUGCGUAGAUAUUGGGAAGAACACCGGUGGCGAAGGCGGCCAUCUGGACCGCAACGUGACGCGUGAGGU